rnacentral:rRNA from 1 species
UACGAAGGGGGCUAGCGUUGCUCGGAAUCACUGGGCGUAAAGGGUGCGUAGGCGGGUCUUUAAGUCAGGGGUGAAAUCCUGGAGCUCAACUCCAGAACUGCCUUGAUACUGAAGACUUGAGUUCGGGAGAGGUGAGUGGAACUGCGAGUGUAGAGGUGAAAUUCGUAGAUAUUCGCAAGAACACCAGUGGCGAAGGCGGCUCACUG